rnacentral:rRNA from 1 species
UGCCCUUGAAGUAGGGGAUAACACUUGGAAACAGGUGCUAAUACCGUAUAACAACCAAAACCACCUGGUUUUGGUUUAAAAGAUGGCUUCGGCUAUCACUUUAGGAUGGACCCGCGGCGUAUUAGCUUGUUGGUAAGGUAACGGCCUACCAAGGCAAUGAUACGUAGCCGACCUGAGAGGGUAAUCGGCCACAUUGGGACUGAGACACGGCCCAAACUCCUACGGGAGGCAGCAGUAGGGAAUCUUCCACAAUGGACGAAAGUCUGAUGGAGCAACGCCGCGUGAGUGAUGAAGGGUUUCGGCUCGUAAAACUCUGUUGUUGGAGAAGAACAGGUGUGAGAGUAACUGUUCACAUCUUGACGGUAUCCAACCAGAAAGCCACGGCUAACUACGUGCCAGCAGCCGCGGUAAUACGUAGGUGGCAAGCGUUGUCCGGAUUUAUUGGGCGUAAAGCGAGCGCAGGCGGUUUCUUAGGUCUGAUGUGAAAGCCUUCGGCUUAACCGGAGAAGUGCAUCAGAAACCAGGAGACUUGAGUGCGGAAGAGGACAGUGGAACUCCAUGUGUAGCGGUGAAAUGCGUAGAUAUAUGGAAGAACACCAGUGGCGAAGGCGGCUGUCUGGUCUGUAACUGACGCUGAGGCUCGAAAGCAUGGGUAGCGAACAGGAUUAGAUACCCUGGUAGUCCCAUGCCGCAAACGAUGAAUGCUAAGUGUUGGAGGGUUUCCGCCCUUCAGUGUUGCAGCUAAC